rnacentral:rRNA from 1 species
UACGUAGGUGACAAGCGUUGUCCGGAUUUAUUGGGCGUAAAGAGCGCGCAGGCGGUCGUUCAAGUCGAGUGUGAAAGCCCCCGGCUCAACUGGGGAGGGUCAUUCGAUACUGAUCGACUCGAAGGCAGGAGAGGGUAGUGGAAUUCCCGGUGUAGUGGUGAAAUGCGUAGAUAUCGGGAGGAACACCAGUGGCGAAGGCGACUACCUGGCCUGUUCUUGACGCUGAGGCGCGAAAGCUAGGGGAGCAAACGGG